rnacentral:snRNA from 1 species
AGAGAUGAUUAGCAUGGCCCCUGUGCCAGGAUGACAUGCAAAUUUGUGAAACAUUCCAUUAAUUU